rnacentral:lncRNA from 1 species
UACAUACGAUAAGAGAGAAUAUGGCUAAAUAUCUCAAGUUAAUUCCUAUUAUAAUUUUAUUUCUUUUCCUAUUCCUUAUUACGAAGGAGGAUGCCAAUUAUCCAAAAAUCAUUUCAACAUCUAAAACAUGUGCAUCUACUGAAGAUUGUCCUAAAAUUUCUGCAGGUAGCAAAUAUGUCGCUUUUUUUAUCGUUAAUGUAUGCAUGAAUGGCUUUUGUCAUAAGAUUAUUUCCAAGCCAUAGAAAGUAAACGAACGCCAUAGGAAGAAUAAGUUCUAGUAGCAAUCUAUAAUUAUAUUUUUAAUUUUUUGUUUUUUAAUUUCAUGCACCUUGCAACUUUGCCUUUGUACUCUAAAAUAUUAGUAAUGAAAUUAAAUGAAAUGAAAUUGUCUGCUUAUCUCUUGUUUUGGAUGUCUCGCAAAUAUUUCACCCACCUUGCAACUUUGACUUUGUACUCUCAAAUUUUUUGAAUUCAAAGGCGAGCAGAUAUGUUUUUUUGGCCUCUUACUUUUUCUAAACUUUUCUAAAUUAUUACAAUUUCCUAAAAUAUAACGGUGUUUGUCCAUCUUGCUGUCUUGAUCCAACGAACUCAUUUGAAAGAGUUGCUGGUGAUAAACUUGCUUUUUGCAGGUCUCUUAUGAACCUGUCCAUUACAUGGUGGUACAUUUUAGAACACUGCUAAUGUGAUGGAGAGUCCUUUCCAAUUUAUUGAAUGGGAGAAUCAUGGUGUGUUGUUAAAGUAAUGUUUAUAGAAUUACUUUUGCCACUCUACCGGUUUUUCAAUUUUAUCCUUCCGUUACUUAAGUAGCAGACGUUAUAAAAAUUAGAAAUUUUGGAAAAUAACGUCCACUACUUAAGUAGCGGAAAGUUAUAAAGGUAGGGUGUUUUGAGGGGUGUCCACUACCUAAAUAGCGGACAAAUAUAUUUUGAUAAUUUCGUAGAGUGCGCCCCAAAAUUAGUAGGGUGGCAAAAAGAGAUCUCUAAUGUUUACGAGAACAAAAAAUAUUUAUAGGAACAAAAAAUAAUGAAUUUUAAUGAUUAUAUAUUUUUUAUGUUACCCAUUCACUAAGUGUGUUUAAGAGGCAAACUUAAAACAUUUGAUCUACCGAAGAAAUAUUUAUUAAUUAAGCGUUCUAAAUGGUCAAAUCAAAUGCAACCCAUUGAUCACCUUGAAUGCUAAAAAUAAAAAUAUUAAUUUUUUAUUUUUAAAUUGCAUAACCUUCAUACACUAUAAAUUGAUCAAACCAUAUUCUAUUUGUUACAUACGAAGAGAGAGAGAACAUGGCUAAAAAUCUCAAGUUAGUUCCUGCUAUAAUUUUAUUUCUUUUCCUAUUUCGUAUUACGAAGGAGGAUGUCAGUGGUCCAAAAAUCAUCGUACCAUCUAUCACAUGUACAUCUACUAAAGAUUGUCCUAAAGUAUCCGCACGUAGCAAAUAUGUCGUUAAUGUAUGCAUGGAUGGCUAUUGUCAUAGAAUGAUUUUCAAGCCAAAACGCCACAUGUAGGGAUGCAUUAGUUCUUCCGGUAGCAACCAAUAAUUAUAUUUUUUAUUUUUUAAUUUCACGCACCUUGCAACUUUAGUACUUUACCUUUGCACUUGUACCAAAAAAAAACUUUACCUUUGCACUCUAAAAUAGU